CUGGCCACAGAAUCCCUCUAACACUAGUCCUGCUCUUAAAAAAUGAUGUUGCUUUCAGAUUUUAAUCAGGUCCCAUAACUUGGAUCCAUCUGCUGCUUCUGAAGUAUUUAGGGUUGUCAAAUCUACCGAUUACCAGGUGGUGGUGGCAGUGGAAGAAGAUCCCACCAUUCAAGUGCUGGUUAAUGUUGCUGCCGUGUCACACACUGCACUACAACAUGGAUGGAAGCCCCACUUCAGCACAUGGCACCCAAAAUAAUAAAGAGGUUGAAAUGCAUCUGAAGACAUCCUUUCAACUACACCACCUGAAGGUUGAAUUUGUGUGCAUCCUCAUAUCUGAAUAUUGGGUCAGGAUUUGAUUCCCUACUCAGUCAUGGAGAUUCACUGGGUGACCCUGGACAAGUCACACUUCCUCAUCCUUAGAGGAAUGCAAAGGCAAGCCUCC